rnacentral:rRNA from 1 species
GAUGAACGCUGGCGGCGUGCUUAACACAUGCAAGUCGAACGAUGAACCUCACUUGUGGGGGGAUUAGUGGCGAACGGGUGAGUAACACGUGAGUAACCUGCCCUUGACUCUGGGAUAAGCCUGGGAAACCGGGUCUAAUACUGGAUACGACCUUCUGGCGCAUGCCAUGUUGGUGGAAAGCUUUUGUGGUUUUGGAUGGACUCGCGGCCUAUCAGCUUGUUGGUGGGGUAAUGGCCUACCAAGGCGACGACGGGUAGCCGGCCUGAGAGGGUGACCGGCCACACUGGGACUGAGACACGGCCCAGACUCCUACGGGAGGCAGCAGUGGGGAAUAUUGCACAAUGGGCGCAAGCCUGAUGCAGCGACGCCGCGUGAGGGAUGAAGGCCUUCGGGUUGUAAACCUCUUUCAGUAGGGAAGAAGCCGCUCUUUCGGGGGUGGUGACGGUACCUGCAGAAGAAGCGCCGGCUAACUACGUGCCAGCAGCCGCGGUAAUACGUAGGGCGCAAGCGUUAUCCGGAAUUAUUGGGCGUAAAGAGCUCGUAGGCGGUUUGUCGCGUCUGCCGUGAAAGUCCGGGGCUUAACCCCGGAUCUGCGGUGGGUACGGGCAGACUAGAGUGCAGUAGGGGAGACUGGAAUUCCUGGUGUAGCGGUGAAAUGCGCAGAUAUCAGGAGGAACACCGAUGGCGAAG